AUGACAAGCCCCGGGAGAUACAUAUGGCCAAACUUAAAGGCAUUGCUGCUGUUGGGGGCAAGGUCUACUACACGUUCACGACACGCCCUUGGAGUAGUGGAGUUCAGCCCUGAGCUCAGCCUCACCGAGUUUGAAGUUGAUAUGGUUGAACUGCCCGACACCAUGCCGUUUACUUCAACUUACUUGGUUGAAUCAUGUGGUGACCUCUUUAUGGUGGUCGUUGUCUUUCUUGGACACAACGUGCACAAAAUCGACAAGGUCGACGUGUAUAAGAUGGACUUCUCGAGGCCGGAAUGGUGCAAGGUGGACAGGAUUGGUGAUAGAGACAGCAUCGGAGCUUCCAACUUUGGAGCAUCAUGUUCGGCCAGUGAACAUGGUUUGUCUAGCAACUGUAUCUACUUUCUGAACAACAUCGCUGCCGAGGAGAAUUACCUGCACAUUUUCAACCUGGAGAAAGGGACUGAAGAAGUGCAACGUCCUUUUAGACACAAAAAUGGUUGCCUGCUGCCACCGCCACGUCCACCGAUGUGGCUGUUACCCACAGACGACUGA
rnacentral:rRNA from 1 species